rnacentral:rRNA from 1 species
AUUGAACGCUGGCGGCAUGCCUUACACAUGCAAGUCGAACGGUAGCGGGCCUUCGGGUGCCGACGAGUGGCGAACGGGUGAGUAAUGUAUCGGAACGUACCUUUCAGUGGGGGAUAACGUAGCGAAAGUUACGCUAAUACCGCAUAUUCUGUGCGCAGGAAAGCAGGGGAUCGCAAGACCUUGCGCUGAUUGAGCGGCCGAUAUCAGAUUAGCUAGUUGGUGGGGUAAAGGCUCACCAAGGCGACGAUCUGUAGCGGGUCUGAGAGGAUGAUCCGCCACACUGGAACUGAGGCACGGUCCAGACUCCUCCGGGAGGCAGCAGUGGGGAAUUUUGGACAAUGGGGGCAACCCUGAUCCAGCCAGGCCGCGUGAGUGAAGAAGGCCUUCGGGUUGUAAAGCUCUUUCGGCCGGGAAGAAAUCGCAUGGGCUAAUACCCUGUGUGGAUGACGGUACCGGAAUAAGAAGCACCGGCUAACUACGUGCCAGCCGCCGCCGUAAGAC